GCUGGGAGUGGUGGCACACACCUGUAGUCCCAGCUACUCUGGAGGCUGAGGCAUGAGGAUCACUUGAGCCCAGGAAUCUGGGAUAUUGUAUGCUGUGCCCAUCAGGCAUCUGCACUAAGUUCAGCAUCAAUAUAGUGACCUCUCAGGAGUGGGGAACCACCAGGUUGCCUGAGGAGUGAACCCGUCCAGGUUGGAAAUGGGGCAGGUCAAAAUUCCCCUGCUGAUCAAUACUGGGAUCUACCUUGUGACUAGCCACUGCACUCCAGUCUGGGCAGCAUAGCAAGACCCCAUCUCU
rnacentral:SRP_RNA from 1 species